rnacentral:rRNA from 1 species
GACGAACGCUGGCGGCGUGCUUAACACAUGCAAGUCGAACGGACAGGCCCCAAGUUUGUGGCGUUGUUGAGUGGCGAACGGGUGAGUAACACGUGAGUAACCUGCCCCUGACUUUGGGAGAACUCCAGGAAACUGGGGCUAAUACCGGAUACGAGAUUCUGCUCCAUGGUGGUGGUUGGAAAAUUUCGGCGGUUGGGGAUGGACUCGCGGCCUAUCGGCUUGUUGGUGCGGUAGUCGCUUACCAAGGCUAUGACGGGUAGCCGGCCUGAGAGGGCGACCGGCCACAAUGGGCCUGCGAUACGGCCCAGACUCAUACGGUCGGCAGCAGUGGGGAAUAUUGCACAACGGGCGCAAGUCUGAUGCAGCGACGCCGCGUGCGGGAUGACGGCCUUCGGGUUGUAAACCUCUUUCGCCUGUGACGAAGAGAGAGUGACGGUAACUGAUAAAGAAGCACCGGCUAACUACGUG